UACGUAGGGGGCAAGCGUUAUCCGGAUUUACUGGGUGUAAAGGGAGCGUAGACGGCAGCGCAAGUCUGGAGUGAAAUCCCAUGGCUUAACCAUGGAACUGCUUUGGAAACUGUGCAGCUGGAGUGCAGGAGAGGUAAGCGGAAUUCCUAGUGUAGCGGUGAAAUGCGUAGAGAUUAGGAAGAACACCAGUGGCGAAGGCGACUUACUGGACUGUAACUGACGCUGAGGCAUGAGAGCAUGGGGAGCAAACAGG
rnacentral:rRNA from 1 species